CCUUGGGAAAGAAAAGACCACAGGUGUCAACAUGUGUUGGAAAAGUUAUUAGAAUUCUGCCUUCAAUCCAUCACAAACCUACAGUCCAGCCACUGUACAGCGCAAUGAAUAGGAGAAUGAAGAGAGGAGUCAAAAAUGAACACAGUGUGUCUGACGUGGGCAACUGUUAAGUAGCGGUGCUAUUUACAGAAAGAGGGCACAGAGGGAAGAAGAACAAGAAAGGUUCUCCAACCCCAGCUUUCAACUAAACUGUGAUAAGGAAAAUAACUCAACUUUGGAUGUUAUGCCACUGGAAUUCAAUUCAGAAUAACAAAGCUUGUCUCAACCUAUUCAAAGAUUUCAAGCUGGAAAUAAUGGAAACUGAAAACAUGCAUGACACGCCACAGAAGUGUUUUACCCCACCCCCCUCUCUCGCUUUUAAUCUGGAGAAAGGAAAAUGAAAGCUAACUCAUCAAGAUAACCUAAUCCCUCCUUGAAGAUACUACAUGAUGAUCUGUUCUGAAUUCUUCAUCUUUGGGUUUGUACUUUCAGAGAUUCAUCAGUGUCCAUGGUUCAGUGUCUUAAUUUAUUUAUAAAAGAAAUACAUUGAGGCAAU
ensembl:lncRNA